AAGUCCGAUAGAGAACAAAGUACCGUGAGGGAAAGUUGAAAAGGACUUUGAAGAGAGAGUUCAAAAGGACGUGAAACCGUUAGAAGCUUAAACGGGUGGAACCGCGAAGGUCGAACGAGGGGAUUCAGCUCGCGGGCCUGUGGCGGGCGGGUGGCGGCACAUAAGAAUUACCGUGAGAGGACCCAGCGUGAUAAAUGUCGUGCUUUAGCUGUGGCCCCGCCCCCGCCCCCGGCAGCCGUCCGCGGGCUUACUUCUCCCUCUAGUAGGUCGCCGCGACCCGUUGUGGGGACCCCCGAGGCCGUGCCGGAUUGGUAGCCCGCAGCCCUUAACCCGGCUGCGGGUGACGACCGGUCCGCGGUUCUGACAGGGCCCCUGCGACGGUCACUGCCAGGAGGCAGGAGGGCAGUUCGCUGCCUCUCUGCCUCUCGCGGCGUGCAAGGGAUCGGUAAUCCACCCGACCCGUCUUGAAACACGGACCAAGGAGUCCAACAUGCGCGCGAGUCUAAGGGUGAACUAAACCUGGAGGCGAAAUGAAAGUGAGCUGUAAAGUUUAAAGCAGGCCGAUCCCCGGCCCGGCGGGCGCUUGGGGGUGUGGCGUCCUCCCCGCCGCCGGCCGGUCCCUCCUUCGGGGGGGUCCGGUCCAAACGCAAUGGCGGCGGGGGCGUCCCCCCCGCGGUCGUCGGGCUGUUUUUAAAGACAGGCGCCGAGAGACGCCGGGGCGCAGGCCGAGGACUUGUCGCUCGGCGGCCCCUGGGCGACGGGGUUCGUGCGGGGACUUCGCGUCCCCCGCGGGCUCUCCUCCCGGGUGUGCCGCUGGCAAGUACCUGAGAGCGCGCACGUUGGGACCCGAAAGAUGGUGAACUAUGCUUGGCCAGGACGAAGCCAGAGGAAACUCUGGUGGAGGUCCGAAGCAGUUCUGACGUGCAAAUCGAUUGUCAGAGCUGAGUAUAGGGGCGAAAGACUAAUCGAACCAUCUAGUAGCUGGUUCCCUCCGAAGUUUCCCUCAGGAUAGCUGGCAUUCAGGAUGAUGAGUUUCAUCCGGUAAAGCGAAUGAUUAGAGGCCUUGGGGGUGCAAUGCCCUCAACCUAUUCUCAAACUUUAAAUGGGUGAGAUGUGGAGCUUGCUUGAUUACUGAAGCUCUGAUGACUAAAGAAUCAGAAUGUC
rnacentral:rRNA from 1 species